rnacentral:tRNA from 1 species
GGAUAGCUCAGUUGGUAGAGUGACAGUUUAGUAAGCUGUUGGUCCCGAGUUCGACUCUCGGUUC